rnacentral:rRNA from 1 species
AUUGAACGCUGGCAGCAGGCUUAACACAUGCAAGUCGAGCGGGGGAGGCUACUUCGGUAACUGACCUAGCGGCGGACGGGUGAGUAAUGCUUAGGAAUCUGCCUAUUAGUGGGGGACAACAUUCCGAAAGGAAUGCUAAUACCGCAUACGUCCUACGGGGGAAAGCAGGGGAUCUUCGGACCUUGCGCUAAUAGAUGAGGCUAAGUCGGAUUAGCUAGUUGGUGGGGUAAAGGCCUACCAAGGCGACGAUCUGUAGCGGGUCUGAGAGGAUGAUCCGCCACACUGGGACUGAGACACGGCCCAGACUCCUACGGGAGGCAGCAGUGGGGAAUAUUGGACAAUGGGGGGAACCCUGAUCCAGCCAUGCCGCGUGUGUGAAGUAGGCCUUUUGGUUGUAAAGCACUUUAAGCGAGGAGGAGGCUCCUUUAGUUAAUACCUAAAGAGAGUGGACGUUACUCGCAGAAUAAGCACCGGCUAACUCUGUGCCAGCCGCCGCGGUAA